GUCCGAUUUAGCCAUGCUAGUUGUACGAGUUUAGACUCGUAGCAGAUAGCUCAGUAACACGUGGCCAAACUACCCUAUAGAUCCAGACAACCUCGGGAAACUGAGGCUAAUCUGGAAUAGGGCUCUCAUCCUGGAGUGGAGAGAGCCUGAAACGCUCCGGCGCUAUAGGAUGUGGCUGCGGCCGAUUAGGUAGACGGUGGGGUAACGGCCCACCGUGCCAGUAAUCGGUACGGGUUGUGAGAGCAAGAGCCCGGAGACGGUAUCUGAGACAAGAUACCGGGCCCUACGGGGCGCAGCAGGCGCGAAACCUUUACACUGCACGCCAGUGCGAUAAGGGGACUCCAAGUGCGAGGGCAUAUAGUCCUCGCUUUUUGCGACCGUAAGGUGGUCGCGGAAUAAGUGCUGGGCAAGACCGGUGCCAGCCGCCGCGGUAAUACCGGCAACACGAGUGAUGACCGCUGUUAUUGGGCCUAAAGCGUCCGUAGCUGGCCGCGCAAGUCUAUCGGGAAAUCUCUCCGCUUAACGGAGAGGCGUCCGGUGGAAACUGUGUGGCUUGGGACCGGAAGACCAGAGGGGUACGUCUGGGGUAGGAGUGAAAUCCCGUAAUCCUGGACGGACCACCGGUGGCGAAAGCGCCUCUGGAAGACGGAUCCGACGGUGAGGGACGAAAGCUCGGGUCACGAACCGGAUUAGAUACCCGGGUAGUCCGAGCUGUAAACGAUGUCUGCUAGGUGUGACACGGCUACGAGCCUGUGUUGUGCCGUAGGGAAGCCGUGAAGCAGACCGCCUGGGAAG
rnacentral:rRNA from 1 species